UAAAAUUAAAAAAAAAAAAAAGAAAAGAAAACAACAUGACCUGGAAGUCAGCCAUUUCACCGCCCAUUCUAUUUAAAACUGGGAUGGAUUUUAGUUUUUGCUUUUAGAACCUAAAACCCACACGGUUUAAAAGAAAAUGUUUUUCACAUUCUAAUGAUGACAGGGUCAAAGCACACUUACCGUGGAAAACUUGGAAAAUAUGGAAAAGGACAAAGCAAAAACAAAAAUCAUUUUGUCAAAGUUUGCCACCACGACUCGUUAGUAUGUUGGUGACUGUCCUUCGAGGUUUGAAUAGGUGCAUUUAGUUUUGCAGCCGUGUUUUUCACGGAACAAUCAAUCCUGGCCGUCUUUCCCUGUGGUCAAACGUUUCUCCACAUCAAUUUUAGUGCCUAGAGAGCUACCACUGCCUGUGGUUGGACGUUUAGAUGGCUUCACAUUUCGACACAUUAUGAUGAUGGUGCUGUUGUGGCCAUUCCUCUGCAUUCAUCCGUGUCCACAGUUGGGGUUAUUUCCUCGGGAUAAAUUCCUGGCGGUGGAAUUGCUAAGUCUCCCCUCGCCCACGUCCCUUCUCCUUGGGGCCGAUCUCUGGUGUCAUCGUUGACGGCGAUGUUAGAGUCCUGACUUCCCUCUGAUGGUCUCACGUGGGACAAGGUAUCUACCACACCCCUCCCGGCUGCUCCCAAAGCACGGAACUGGUGACCAUUUGUGGUCAUGGUGGUCCAGUCCGAGACCCGCGUCGUUCCUCCCAGGCAUUCGUGAUGGUGACCGAGGACCGCAGCGGACACAGCGUUCUCCUGCAAAGACGUCUCUCAGGGAAUGUAGGCAGACCGUCUAGAAACAGUCCCCAUAGCUUGACCUUCCAACCAGCUCGGUCCCCGUUUGGACAGGCAGUAUCCCUGCUUGUGAUUUUCGGCCUCCCGCCCUGUGUUCGCCUCUCAGCCCCACUCAGGGGGUCGUGCGUGUCAGCCGGUCUGGUUCGUUUCUCUCUCAGCCCAGCACCCCUUCAGGUUCUUUCUCCCUACUCCCUUCCCGACUCCACAGAGAGCGGAUGGAGCAGGCUUCAAGGCCAAGGUGGUGCAAAAUCUCGUCAUUUCAGUGUUCGGUGGUGAGCUAUUGCUUUAGAGCAGACCCAUAGCCAGGUGCUAACCACGGGGGGAGGGGGGAGUUGGGGGUUUGGAUGGCACACAGGGCUCCCGUGGUCCUGCUUCCGCACAGGCAGGCCCAGCUAGGCACAGCGGUCAGAGUCAGAAGUGACUUCAAGGUCAUCAAGGCCAAACUCUUUUCCAACAUGGCUAUCGCUCAACAGAGUCCCGGGUGGUGGGUGAUGCGUGCAAUGGUCGUGAGAAGUGCUAAGAGGAAAGAUAACACAGGGAAGGUGCACAGGGAAGGUCAGGGUGGUGGUGGAGGGGAUGGGCGUACGGAGGGUGUGCAGGGAUGUCCUUGCUCAGAAGGGGACACGAGAGUCCACCCCAGGAGGAAGUGAGUGGACAUCUGGGGAAAGCCUGGCAUGUUCCUGGAACUGGGGAGAGGUAGGCCAAGUGAGGGGAAGGCCAGUAGGACGUGGGGUCAGAGAUACUGGGUGCCAGCCGGGACUCCAACGAGAGUGGCAAUUGCUUACGGGCUUGAAGGAUGCUUUAUACCCAAUGAGAUGGAAGUUAAGGACCUGGACGGGCAAACAGAUGCAAUUUUGUGUUUUAGCACCAACACUCUAGCAGCUGGGCUGGAGUUUACUGAGGGGCAAUAAGAACGGAAGUAUUACUUAGUGUCAUUUGUUCAACAAAUAAUUAUUCAGCUCUUGUGUGCUAAACACCGAGCUAGAUGACUUCCGGCAUCUAAUGAGCGCUUAGCCAGUGCUGGGCUCGAGGCCAGGCCCGACACAUCCAUAAUUGCAAUUGUGUCUGUCUCCCCGUUUUACAGAUGAAGAAACGUAGGCUCAGGGAGACCGCACGGCUAGCAAAUAGCCAGCCUGGAUGUAGCCCAGGGACUGUCCCACUGCAAAGCCUGCGAUCCUGACCACUGUGUCAUUGCUGGGAACUUUUUCUCACACUGGACUUUGCAAGUCUCUCUACGACAGCAUGAGAAGUCCACUUCCAGGUGGUCACUGGGCCCCCUGUCCUCUCCUCCCACUGUGUCUGUGGAGGGCCCCCCCCCCCCCCACGCUAGGCAGGGACACAAGACCCAAGCGGACGAGAGCUGAGUUCCAGCCCCACUGGGGCAGGCCACUCCCCCUCUCUGGACCCCGGACUUCUUUGCCCUAGGAUAAGGCCUUGGAAUAGGUCUCUAAUCCUCCCUCCAGCUUUAGCGUCCAAUGAGUACAAGAUCUGAUGUGAUCGUCACCUUACCCCUUGUAUUUGAUUUUUUUAAAUGUUUAUUUAUUUAUUUAUUUUUGAGAAAGAGAGAGAACAUGAGCAGGGGAGGGGCAGAGAGAGAGGGAGACAUAGAAUCCGGAAGCAGGCUCCAGGCUCCGAGCUGUCAGCACAGAGCCCGACGCGGGGCUCAAACUCAGGGGCCGUGAGAUUGUGACCUGAGCCGAAAUUGGAUGCUCAACCAACUGAGCCACCCAGGUGCCCCUCCUCAUAUUUGAUUAUCGACGAGACCUUCACACUCAGCACCCAUUGCUUAAAUAUUCUCCACCCACCCCACCCCCCACCCCCCAUCUGCUCAUCUGACCCUCACAGCAGACCUGAGAAGGUAACAGGUGAAAAACUCAUCCCCGCGUCAUAGGAGGGCAAGCUGGGGCCCGGUGGGCUACACGAUUUCUCCAAGUUCCUGCUCACACUGGUGUGGAGGAGCCACUCCAAACCCUUCAGCCAACCCAACAGUCUCUAGAAUGUUCCAAGUACCUGGCCAUUGCCCACGCAGAAGGAGACCAUCUGAUCCUUUCCAGAAAAGAUGGAACCAGUCCCUAAAUGGUUGGCAGAGGCUUUGCUGCAGUGGCCCCAGGGAUCUCGACUUAAUGGUUAGUGUGAUACAAGAAACAGAGAGCAAAUGGCUCCCUAGAAAGCGGGUUUUAUUUGCCAGCCACACUACCCCGACCCCUUCCAUCCUCCACAAGCUACUCCUGACCCACCUGCAUCUUCCUGCUUGUCCUGCUCCCCUAAUGACCCUGGGGAGACUCAGCCCGCAUCACCCUAUGAUAGCCCUAAGCCACGUGCUCAUUUUUCAGCCUUUAGUGCCCUCACAGCUGAGCCCCAGAAAGAAUGUCCAAGGUCCCCGAGGCUGUACCUGCAGACACAGAUUCGGCGAAAGUAAGAGCAUACCGGUAGGCUUUACCGCUUCUAGGCCUGAGCAGGAUGAGUGCUUCGUAAACGCGGGAUGAGUUAAUGAUUCCAUAUAAUGAUUCCACCCAGCAGACACCCAUCUAUGGAGAAAGCCUCUAGAACAGAAAGAGUCUCGGCCUUAGGCGGCCACCUUCUGGGGCUGGGUUCUGCCACUACCCCGCUGUGCGACCUUAAGCAUUUCACUUGAUGUCUCUGAUCCUAUUUUCUUCUGUAUGCUAUGGAAGGUUUGGACAGAGAUAAUUAGUAAGUUUCCUUCCAGCACUGGAACUCGGCUGUUCUGGAAAAGGCAGGCAUGAAAUACAUCUACAUUCACGUCAUGAGCUGGAGCCUGGUUGCCUUCUGUGCUUAUCAGUCAAACUUCUCUCCCGUUCUCUGAUGACACCAUUAUGAUCAGACUUACUGCCUUAAGGAAGAAAAAUGAAAAAAGGAAUCUGUGGAAGGGGAAUGAUAAGAGGAGGGAAGAGAAUUUGUAAAAAAAAAAAAAAAAAAAUAUGGCAACAACACUGAGGUGCCUGGGUGGCUCAGUCGGCUAAGCGUCCGACUUCAGCUCAGAUCAUGAUCUCACGGUUCGUGGGUUCGAGCCCUGCGUCGGGCUCCGUGAUGACAGCUCGGAGCCUGGAGCCUGCUUCGGAUUCUGUGUCUCCCUUUCUCUCUCUGCCCCUCCCCUGCUUGCACUCUCUUUCUCUCUCUCUCUCUCUCUCAAAAAUAAAUAAACAUUUUUUAAAAAUUAAAAAAAAUACAGCAACACAAUGACAAGCCUGAGUUCUGAAGGCAGACUGUCAGCAUUCAAAUCUCUGCUCUACUGCAUUCUAGCUGUGUGGCCUUGGACAAGUUACUUAACCUCUAUAAGCCUCAGCCUUCUCGUCUGUAAAAUGGGCAGCAUAACACCUAUCUCACGUGGCUGCUGUGAUAUGACCCAUGGUGCCCUUGACACUGAGAGAGGGCUCCCCUACGAACAGCUGUUUCUUAUAUGCCGAUGCUCUGCUCUGUGAGGCAGAUGGGGAAGACGGACAGAAAACAGACAACAAAUGAAGAAAAUGGAGGGUGGGGGAGGAGGCGGGAAAGGUUUGAGGGGGACCGUGGAAUCAUUUUCACCUGCCCAGAAGUGGAGUGAGAUGGACCCCCAAACAUCCCCCCCACAAUGCCUUCCUCUGUGCCCCCAGCAGACCCGUGCACCGCCUCCCCCGCCCCUCACUUCCGUGACUGUGAGGCCUUCUCCUCUUGGCUGACACCCUCCUGGGUGCCCCUGGACAAGGCCUCCUUCCCACACACGCACACACACACACACCCACACAUACCGGAGGGGUCCCUUUGAGAUGGAUCUGAGUGGUUUCUCACCUCCUACUAGGGGGACCUGUUCAAGAAGGAGGUUUAGGGGAGCAGGGUGUCCCCCACCUGGGGCUAACCCUGGCUGGGGAGGUUGUUUAUGAUUUCAAGCUGAAGACAGCCUACGCGUGGAGAGGAAAAUUCCCCUCCUUGCUAGGUAAGAGGUUUCACAGACCUCGCCAGCCUGUUGCUUUCAUUUUAUUUUUCUUCGUGCACACCUAAGCUUCUAAAUUUUAUAAGCCACGGCUUACUUUUAUCUCUGAAGGUGGUGGAGAAUGUUGGACUCAGCAAAAGUCAGUAAUGGCCAACUGGGAGUAAUCAAGUGACAGCGGUGAGGUCUCCGCUUUGCUUUGGUGCCGCGAGGGUUAAACCCUCCUGUCCACAAGCAGCCUGCCCCAGCCAUGACCCCCGCUCACCUCUUCUGUCAGUCCCCCUCCCUCACAAAUGCCAUCGUGAACAUAUUCAGAAUAGUGACCAGACAGCCUUCAUGUGUCAAUUGGUUUAUUUAU